rnacentral:rRNA from 1 species
UACGUAGGGGGCAAGCGUUAUCCGGAUUUACUGGGUGUAAAGGGGCGCAGACGGCGAUGCAAGCCAGGAGUGAAAGCCCGGGGCCCAACCCCGGGACUGCUCUUGGAACUGCGUGGCUGGAGUGCAGGAGGGGCAGGCGGAAUUCCUGGUGUAGCGGUGAAAUGCGUAGAUAUCAGGAGGAACACCGGUGGCGAAGGCGGCCUGCUGGACUGCAACUGACGUUGAGGCCCGAAAGCGUGGGGAGCAAACAGG